UUUCAUUGAAAUAUAUUCAAUACAGAUAGCUUUUCAUUGAAGCGAGAUUUGAUCUAUGUCAGUGGCAACUUCCAACAGCUAUGACACAGGUGUCAAGCAAAACUUGAAUUUUAUAUGUCAGCAUGAUCGUCAGAUUGAAGAAAUCACAUUAAUAAGAACCAACAUGGAAUCUCAACACGUAAUACAGAUGAACACAAAGAAACACGGAUAGAUUGAGGCAGAAAAUGCAGAGACUAUGAAUCUUCUUGGAUCCACAUGAAGUACAGGAGGUAAUAUUACAACGUGGGACAAGGCACCGAGC